ACUUAUCGGACUGGAAUCCGGGUCUGGUAUCCGGGCCCGCGUCCGCACGGUCUCGGACAGGCGGGUGGAUGGGAGUCCGGUUCCGGGCCUGACUGGGACCUGUGUGGUGCCGGCUGCGGGGUGUGCAGGGCGUCACGCCGCGGUGCCUUUGGUUGGAUGGAUUUGCCGGGGGAGACGCGGCGCUGAGCCUGCCCGCGCCGUUGCUUUCCCAGUCCCAGCCCUGGGCCCCAUUUCCAGCCCACCUUCGCCCCCGUGCGGGCCCCCAGCCCCUUCAAGUCCACUUUCAACUGCCUCUCCUCCUCCCCACCCCACUUACGUCAGGUCGCUGUGGUUCCCCUCCGACCUGGCAGAGCUGCGGGAGCUCUCUGAGGUCCUUCGAGAGUACCGGAAGGAGCACCAGGCCUACGUGUUCCUGCUCUUCUGCAGCGCCUACCUCUACAAACAGGGCUUUGCCAUCCCCGGCUCCAGCUUCCUGAAUGUUUUAGCUGGUGCCUUGUUUGGGCCAUGGCUGGGGCUUCUGCUGUGCUGUGUGUUGACCUCAGUGGGUGCCACAUGCUGCUACC
rnacentral:sRNA from 1 species